AUGCACGCUGGCGGCGUGCCUAAUACCUGCAAGUCGAGCGAACAGACGAGGAGCUUGCUCCUCUGACGUUAGCGGCGGACGGGUGAGUAACACGUGGAUAACCUACCUAUAAGACUGGGAUAACUUCGGGAAACCGGAGCUAAUACCGGAUAAUAUAUUGAACCGCAUGGUUCAAUAGUGAAAUACGGUUUUGCUGUCACUUAUAGAUGGAUCCGCGCCGCAUUAGCUAGUUGGUAAGGUAACGGCUUACCAAGGCGACGAUGCGUAGCCGACCUGAGAGGGUGAUCGGCCACACUGGAAGUGAGACACGGUACAGACUCCUACGGGAGGCAGCAGUAGGGAAUCUUCCGCAAUGGGCGAAAGCCUGACGGAGCAACGCCGCGUGAGUGAUGAAGGUCUUCGGAUCGUAAAACUCUGUUAGUAGGGAAGAACAAAUGUGUAAGUAACUAUGCACGUCUUGACGGUACCUAAUCAGAAAGCCACGGCUAACUACGUG
rnacentral:rRNA from 1 species